rnacentral:lncRNA from 1 species
CAACCUUUUGCUCUCUUCCUUAUUUGUACUUCCAAGACAUCAGCUUCAAGAUUUUCAAACCGAGAAGAAGAAUUUAAUCUCUAUAUUUUCAAGCUCCGUCGCCAAAUCAAUAACAGAGACUCACUGUCAAUGCAGUUACGAACUCAAGCGGAGGAACAGAGCAAACCUGGGAAUCAAGCAGCAACAUAUCGACUCCCAUGAGUUCGCCACCGCAUCCGAUGUUCCUGGCCUCCCAAUAACAGAGCAACUGCACUUGAACGGUGGAAUAGCAUUAGCCAUACUGAAAAUAAAAUUACUGGUUUCGGAAUACGAAAGGAGGAGAUGAUUCUCAUAGCAUGAAAGCAUACCCUUUUAUAGUCGAAAUUCCACCGCCUUUCAUGAGUUAAGAUCGCAUUCAAGAGAGAUCAUGGGUAUGUAUUUAAGAAAGAGUUGAAGAGGGGUAAUCUGUAACCGGUAUCACUGCAGAUUGAUAAGGAAGAAGAUGAAACGCUCGCUCUUGGAACACAGGUUAAGCCUCGAUCUCCAAUGGCGGAGAAGUAUGCUUCAACCCUAAUUGCAAAAACAGUUAAUACGCGUUUAAACUAAGACAUACUGGAAUCGGGCUGUACCAAUUUUGAGAAUACAGAUAAAGCCCGUAGCAAUGAAGCCCAUAAGCCAACCAAAAUUAAUGAAACGCUGCGGAUCAGAGUACAUGACACGUGUCGAGCCGUCUGAAGCCGAUUUUCUGACCUGGCGUCCGACGUGUCACAACCUGGAGAGAAAGAACUGUCUUUUAUAUAUAAAGAUGUUUGAUGUACUGUUAAUAGUAUGAUAGUUCAAUUUUUUAAAAGAAAAUGUGAAAUUUAUUAUAGUUUUUU